CUCGUUGAAUUAAGACAAAAGAAGGGUUGGCAGGUUUUCUUGACUGCCAACCCUUCUUUCUGUCUUAAUUCAACGAG
rnacentral:pre_miRNA from 1 species